AAAACAACCCUUGAAGGCACAAAGAAGCAGACUAAGGGUAUAAUUCUCGAAAAGAGAAGAAAAAACAAAGGAACCAAAAACAACUAAUAUCGAAACUCAGGAUAAUCAUCCAUUUCAUCCGACCAACGCUCAUGGACAACAUUAUUCAUUGCAAUCAUACUGGGCCUAUUGGAAAGGUCAAUCGCAAACUCCUUCGGCU
rnacentral:lncRNA from 1 species